AUGAAGAGAAUCUGUGGGAGGGGCCAAUGGGUACAAGGGGUCAGGCUGUCCCCAGCACUAGUGUGCCCCAAGGACAUGGGUGGAUAACCAGCCGAACAGCUCUCUCAGGUGCAAUCCUGCAGG